AUCAUGUUGUCCCUGAUUCAAUCAGUGCACCCAAACUCCUUGUAACUUCAUCAGUGAUGUCAUGAUCCACAAACUCUUGGACCAGAUCAUCAUCACUUUCAUCUUCAUAAUCAUUGUCACUCAACAACACAUCACUACCCUCAAUUUCCUCACAUUUACCCUCCAGUAGUGUAUCCUCCCCUUCAACCCUCUUCCCCUCUCCUGCAGCUCUCUUCCCCUCACUUGCAGCUCUCUUCCCCUCACCUUCACUACUAAAAAAUGGGUGGAAUCUCGACGAUGUGUCUUCGACGCACGGGUGGAGGCGUUAGCAUGUAUAUUUGGUUCGCGUUAUUUGGCGACGCAUUUCGUUGUCCAUCUCAAUUGUCGACGUGGUAACGCGUCGAUAAUUUAUCAUAUGCCACCUGCUAAGCACGUGAUAUUGGAUACAGAAAAAAAAAAAACCGCCCCUCUAACCUCGCUCUCACUCUCAACCCUAACUCUUCAUUUCUCAGCUUCUCUCUCCUCCCUUUGUGCGGCUACACAUCUCCAUCAAUGAAAAUUCCUCUAUUUCUCAAUGGAGGUUCAAGGUUUUUCACAUCACGAUUUGUGUUUGAUAUCACACACUCACUCCUAUUAUCUCUAUGCCCUCUCCAAUAUGAAUAUCGUAGAUCUUGAUUGUUCGACCUUCGAAAUGGAUAUUGCACCUUUUACCUCAAGUUAUGAGUUCUUAAUCGAGUAACUGGGUUCAUAACGGAUCAGAUCGAGAUUCAGAGUUGCUUAUCGAUCAAUCAGCAGAAUCCACCCGUUAAUCUUCUAUCACAGCAGCACGGGCACGAGAUGUGAACUCCGGUAAAUCGGCUAUGUUUUGGGAGUAAUCACAAUAAAUACAUGACCAGCUGCUCUGGGACAGUCCAAAAGGGUAGAAAACAAAGAUGCUUGGAGACUAAAGAACAUGUUCUUCAAAGAAAAAUCUCUGAUUCACUUCAUAACACCGACGCUACCACAGAACGCGAGUGGAAAAUGACUUCUACGAACCUAACAGACACCCGGAGAAACAAAGAAAAUACUACGGGCACAAAGAGUCUAAUUGGAUAGGCUUAUCUAGUGGUGACUACAAAAGCAAUCUGCAUUCCUCAACCUGAAAUUAUCAGCCCUGCAGGAGACUGUAAGAGGUAGAUGUAUAAGUACCAGAAUAAAAAGCAUGUAGCAAAAUAGAAGUCAACAAUAAAGUUAUUUGCAAAUUUUUGUAAUUUUGAAACUUGACUUUGAUUAUUAUCAAAAUCCAAACGAAGAUAGUAGUGACCUUGAAGUUAAAAGGAGGAUUGAAGAAGUAUUUCCUUAGAUGGGCCACAAAUUCUUGUAUAUUCAUGUUCUUUGUAUCUUUAAGUUCUUUCUCACAAUCAAUUAGCCGGUUUUGGUUAAAGGAAGAUAACAUCAAAAGAUAAAGCCAUCUCUGGUUACAGUGAACUACAAGUAUAUUUGUCUUGUCUUCAUACUAAGUGGAUGGUUUUGCAUCAUUUAAGUUGUUUCUAUAAGCAGUGUCGGGAAUGGAAUUAUGUUAUUUUGAUAUAACAUUUUACUUUGCAGGUUUCCUGGCUUCUAAUUAUUUAGUACUUCUGCUCUUGUGUGAACUUUUGGACGAGUAUGGAAGGAAACCGCUUCUCCAUUUGACCAUGUCUACUUCCAUUUUCCUAUUGCAAUUGAUCAUCCAACACUCCAACGUGAUAAGGAGCAAGAUGAGAAUGAAGGACAAGACACUUGAGUUUCAUAUAAGCUACUACUACCACUAUUAUAGAUCCUAGUUUUUCUAGGUUUUAGUUAUUCGGUUUAGUAGAUACAAUUUGUAUUUUUGAUGAUCUUUUGGACUAUUUAGUUAGUAACAUUGAUAUACUAUGGAAUUUGGUUAAUUAGUAACAUUAUCGUGUACGAUAGAUUUUAAUUAUGUACUUCUACAUUCGUAUACGGUAAUUUCAAUGUUACAUUGAUCCGAUACCAAUUAUUCAAAACUCAGGUUUUAUU